GGGCCACAUCAGAGAGAAAGACUCUACAGCUUGCCCAGAGUUGAGCUUAAACGGAGCAGCAUGAUUUUUGUCUGAAAAGUCUGAGAUGGGACCAGUGGAAAGGUGUGCAUUUUAAGAAGGAUUUGCUUCCCCAUCUUGUGCUUUCUGUGUCUUGCAGCACGACCUGGCCCUCCACCUAGGAAUCAUACCUUCAUCCCCCAUACUCAUAAUCCUCAUUUCUGUUUCCUUGUGGAUGUCAUGGUCUGCUGUGAAGUCUGCUUGGUGACCUGUCCAGACCUGACUUGGUAUAAAUGAUUUUGUUGCAGAGAAUAACAA
rnacentral:lncRNA from 1 species